rnacentral:tRNA from 1 species
UCCUCUGUAGUUCAUUCGGUAGAACGGCGGACUGUUAAUCCGUAUGUCACUGGUUCGAGUCCAGUCAGAGGAGCCA